AGAUGAGGAAACUGAAGCAAACAAGGUUAAGUGACUUACUCAGGGUCACACUGCUAUUGAAGAGACUGAGGCAAACUGGUUAAAUUACUUUCCCUGAAUCACACAGCUAGUGGCUGAGGCUGGAUUUGAAUUGAAGAAAAUGCAUCUUCUCGAUUCCAGGUCUGGCCCUUCAAUUGCUGUACCACCUAGUUGCCCUUCUCCUUAACGAGGUUACUAAAAUAGACUCAUUCCUGGUGGUAGUUUUGCCUGGAGUUUUUCUCUUCUCCUAAUUCAUCCUUGACAACGCUGUCCAAGAAAUGAGCAGUUCUGAUCAUAUUAUGCAUCUAUUCAAAAGUCUUCCCCAAGUCCUCAUUGCCUAUUGAAUGAAAUAUAAAGACUUUAUUCUGGCAUUUCCAGGUCUGCUAAAAUCUGGCUCCAAGCUGCCUUUCCAUACCAUAUCUCUUUACAAAACAUCUCUAUAAAAGCCAGAGUGGUACAGGGGAAAGAAUCUUGGGGUUUGAGUCAGGAGUAAGCUGCGUAUUUAUUGGCAGGAGGUCUUAGAGUGACUUACUUUAUUUACUGUAGAAUGGGCAUAGUAAGUCAGAAGCUCCAUAGGACUUAGAAUCGCCAGAUUGAUGGAGGUGAGAAAAAUGAGACCCAGGGAAGCUAGCUGAUUUGUCCAAAGUUACAAGGUAAUCAUCAAUGAAACAAUAAGGAUUUAUUAAGCACCUACUACAAUGUUUCAGGAAAUGUGUGAGGCACUGAGGCUACAAAGAUAAAAAUGGGGAUCUAGGUAUCAGAAGAUAGAUUUAGUCUGACUUCUGAGACAAUAGCUAAAAAACAUAAAAAAAGUUUUCUUCCUUAUUAUGAACCUAAUAACAACAAACCAGAACAUUUCCACAUGUCAAGAACAGCAGAGAACUUAUAUAUACUUUCAUAUA